rnacentral:rRNA from 1 species
UACGUAGGGUGCGAGCGUUAAUCGGAAUUACUGGGCGUAAAGCGUGCGCAGGCGGUUUUGUAAGCCAGAUGUGAAAUCCCCGGGCUUAACCUGGGAAUGGCAUUUGGGACUGCAAGGCUGGAGUGCGGCAGAGGAGACUGGAAUUCCUGGUGUAGCAGUGAAAUGCGUAGAUAUUGGGAAGAACACCGGUGGCGAAGGCGGCGACCUGGUCCUUUACUGACGCUGAGGCGCGAAAGCGUGGGGAGCAAACAGG